GCUUUGAUUUCACAGUUGGGUUAGCGUCUAUGGGGAGAUGUGGCCGUUGUCUGGCUGUCACGCCGAAUUCCUGCUUAAUGUGAUGGUUUAAAUUGGCGGCAGUUUGUGUUCUCUGUGUGCUGAGAAGCGUUUGAUCCCUAAAAAUAGUCGAUCCUUGUCCAAGUGCCAAAACGUGUCUUUUCAUGCCUUUGUGGAGAGCUUCAGAGCGGUCGCUGGCGUGGAUUAUUUCUGCUGUAUUUUAUUCCCCUGAGCUCUGUUAUUGUCAGUAAUACAUUUUCCCUUUAGCUGCUUUUUUAAAACCUUCUGUCCAAGCAGAAAAUAAACUCUGCAUCAGUCUGUCAGUCAUUUGCAUGCUGCCUCCCCCGCUCGCCCAUUCACCGCCGCAUUCCUUGCAUUCCUCCAUUCAGCAGAGGUCAGAAAAAUAAAGAGAGGCAGAAAAAAAGAUCAAAAGUAGAAGAUAUCCGGGCGUGGGCGGUUGGGGAAAUGAUUCGUGGGUCUGUGAAAACCACUAUUGAGGACGAGCCCCCUGCUCAGCCCCUCCUAUCAGACUCAGAGUCCGUCUAUUACCCCAUAUGGGGCUGUUUGAUGACAAAAGGAGGCCUGGCGAGUCAGCAAUGCAACCGUUAUGACGUGUUUCCUCUUGUUUCCGUGCAUCACUUUCACUGGUUCAAAGCUGAUCUGAUGACAGAAACAUGCACAUUAAAGAGAGAGAGAGAGAGGUUUUGCAGAGAUAGUACAUUAGAAAUCAGGACAUGGGUUUCUGUAUCCUGGUGGGUGGGACUCAAAUUUGACAUUUCUCAAGAAGCAGGAAACUCGCAGCUUCUUGGAAACCUGUAAAACUGCUGCGUCACUGUUCAGAUCCAGCUCAAACUCACUGACGGUGCAACUUUUACAUCAGCUAAACUAAUACAGUGAGUAAUGUAAAGAUGCUCUCAUUACCUUUUAAUUGCUGGCACUCCUGCUCAGAGUGAGUAAGGGGGUGACUUAUUGAACCUGCUCAUACUCUGAUCUGAUUCCCAAAAUUUCCAUUCCUAUAAAACACAGAUUAAAUUCAACAGAAGUUAAAGUGGAAAUCUUGAGGUUUUGAGGGGGAAGAUUUUCCACUCCAAAUUUGUUAAACAUGGUCAAACCAGAGACGUCAUAUUGAGGUCAACUUAACCACUGUGGCAUCAUCUAUUGAUGACAACAUCCCUGCGUUAAUGACGUGUCGUCGAGGGUUGACCAUCAAGGGCUAAACCCAAACAGAAGGUUUUCAUAAAGGUUUAUUUUAUAUAAAGAUACACAGAUAACCUUAUAAUCUAAGAUAACCCUGAAAUCUAAAAAGGCUGUAUGCUCUUGCUUAAGUGGUCCAUGAUCCAUCUUACCAAAGAGGAGGGGUUCGGAUCCUUCCCCUUUCUCAGGAAAGCUAACUGACCUGGGUAAACCCGGUAUGCCUUCAUUGUUGCACCGAUUUUUGCAAUACGACUCAGUUUUAUCUUCUUCACGUUAAAACAUUUCUCCAAAUUGGAGCUUUACUAAAUGAAGAGGGGGGAUUGUGAGCAGGUUUUGUCUUUAAAUCGUCCCUCUGAUCACUUCUUAGUAGCUUUACAAGAUUUACACUUCAACAUAUUCACAAAUUUCCAGCUGCUGUCUUUGAAAAUCCUGAUUUUAGCCUCUUUCUUAGACGCUUCAUUUAAGCCACCGUCCCUUUAAGGCCCAGAAUCCAGUGUUCUGGAAGCCUCCUCCACUGUUGCCAUGCGAUAAAGUUGUUUCUGUUCCCUAUCGUUCCUUUGAUCCAGUCUUGUGAGUUUUCAGUUUGUGUGUGACCUCGUUUCCCUCCUGUUCUCUGUGUUUUUAUUCUUUUCAGAGUUUCCCUAUUUUACUUUGUAGUAGUUUAUUUCCUCGUGUUUCUAGUCUGAUUUUACUUCCCUAGUUUUCCCUCCUUCGUUAAUCACUCAUGAGUUUCACCUGUGCCUCGUUUGCCUCACCUGUUGCUCGUUUCCCAGUGUGUAUAUAGUCCAUGUCUUCCCCUCUGUCCUGGUUGGUUCAUUGUUUGUCGAUGUUUGCGUAUUCCUGUGUCUCCUGUUGCUCCCUGUGAUUUUGGAUUUUUCUCUGUUUGUUGUUUUUUCAUUUAGUUCUUUUAAUUAAAUCCUUAUCUUGUUCUUUCUUUAACCCUGUGCGUCUUGAUAAAAAUCCUUAUUUAAGCCUCUGUCUUAGACGCUUCAUUUAAGCCACUGUCUCUUUAAGCCCCAGAAUUCUUUGUUCUGGAGGCCUCCUCCACUGUUGCCAUGAGAUAAAAUUUUAAGGAGAGUCGCUGUGAAGUGAUGUUACAGUUUGAGAAAAUCUCGUCUUGAUAUCAUCAGAUUCUCACGUGGCCAAUAAGAGCCCCCUGUAGUCUCAUUUGGAGAUUAUUUAAACACACAUUAACAUUACAAUUAACAACUUUGCUCAUUUCUAUCACUGACAUCCAACACUUUAACUUUGCAUUUUUUUAAAAACAUAAAAAAUUUAUAUACUUUGUCUCUAAGAUGAAUUGACUGAUGACCUCCUCUUCAUGGGCAGCAUUGUUGUUUUGAAAAAAAUCACAAUAUGGUGAAAAACUGAAUAUAACUGAAGUUUAAGAUGAUCCGUUUUUCAAUUUCACAUCCACGUUAAAAACAUAAUAGUAAAAUUUAUUUAUUUUAACAAAUAUUUUUCUUGAAUUUUUGCCCCAAUUCAACAGAAACGCCAAAGACAGAAGAGGAAUAUGGCGAAUAGGGUGUUGGAGGACAUGGUUGGGAGUGAAACUUGAAGCCUUUAUGUAAAAGAAAUCAAGCUCUGUUCAUUGGAUCAGGCACCCUAACUUCAUGGCCAACCAGCACGCAACUAAGGCCAAUAAUUAACAGAUAUUGAUUCAAUGGAAAUGAAGGAAUUUAGAGUUGGCUGAUGAAUAUUUCCAGUAAGCCCACUAAACCCUGCAUGAACCAGGACUGAAAUGGUUUCCAAAUAAGGAUAUUUGACAUGUUUUAGGAGAUUAGGAGAUUUUUUUCAACCAAUUGCAGCUUUUACAAUCCUGUUUUUAUUCCUCUCUAAGGAUCUGGAAGUUCAGGCCACAUUUCACUCUGGUUUCAUCAUGACCAGUGACUCACAACUCUUUUCGAUUUUCACAAUGUCAGGAAAACUGGUGAGAGUAAAAACAUCAUAGUUGCAGCUUGUAACAGGCUAAGUGCUCCAACAGAGAGACGCAGAAGUGAAACAGGAAGUUUUACUCAGCCUGUACAGAAGUCAACUUUGCUGAGGUGAAAUGACGUGAUUUGGAAAUGCAUCACGCAAAAUCAGCUUUGAAGUAGAACAUCUGAACGCUGCAGUAUUCAGAGGCAUGACCUCAAAAUCUAGAAAACAAGGAUCUGAUCUGUUCAAGUCAUUUGCUCUCUUUGGCAAGGGCGCCACCCGAGCAGGAAAUUAUGUAAAAUCCCAGCUCUUUCAAAGUCCAGAAAUUCCACCAUAAAACAGAGCCAAAGAGUCAGAACAAGGAAGUGAGUUACAUGUUGUUUGACCGCCAAAUUUCCUUCUGGUUUAGUAUUAGUUUCCCGCUGGUUUAAUGGUCAUGAGCGCUGGCAGGAGGCCGCGGUCACAGCUGCCCAGUUUAACCACAGACUGAAACUGGUGCAGCAGCAAAGAGGUCAAGUGUAUUUUCACCACAGCUGGGAAUAUUUCUCUGCAGCACGAGUGCAGGAGGAGGAUCUUUCCCUCACUUUAGCAUCUCCAGUAUCACAUUAAUACGGCUUUAGGUAUUAUCCAUGCACUUUAUUUUACCAUUUGUUUCCUUAUCAAGAUUUCAUAACUGUGUUUUCCCAGUAUGUCACUUAAUCAUACCUUUUAUUUCAACAACUUUUUUCCGUGUGCACUGAUUGUAGGACGAGGUGCGGUUACAUAGUUUUUUACUUCCUUUAUUAAUCCUCUGAUUAUGUAAAGCACUUUUUGUCAUUAAAGUUAAAAGGUGCUUUAAGGGCCCCCAUCCGCUUUGACAGCCCAGACACACGAGGUCCUGAUCUAGGGUUGAGGCUGUUUAAGAAUGUUUUCAGUGGGUAAUAAACAGGAUUACUGGUUGGCCAGUUUACCACCUGGACUCUUCUACUACAGAGCCCACAGUUGUAAAAGGUGCUGAAUAUGGUUUGGCGUUGUCUAGCAGCAAUUUUCAAGGCCUCCCCUAAAGAAAAAAGGCAUCUUCUUGAUGGUAGCGUGUUGUUCCAACAUCUGUUCAAUUCUUUUAAUAUUGAUAUCACCUUCCCAAAUGUGUCAAAUCAGGAAUGCUUGUUUUUUGAACUUCGCUCUGAUAAUAAACCAGAUUGUCCCUUUUCAGUGUAGUGCCGAGGAUGAGGCGUCCAUGACUUCUACAAAGAAAGUCAAUUUUGAUUCAUUUGCCUGCAGUAUAGUUGCCAUCCACAAUAGGCUUAAAGGGAUAAUCCGGCGUAAAAUUAAUUUAGGGUCAAACACACUGUAACACCAAGUUAGACACCCCGUUGAGAGAUGAAUGUUGUUGACUGCUUGCUUCUCUAGUUAUACCAACUUUAGUAACAACCGCAGGAUAGUAAUACACAGCGGUCUGAGGAGCCAUAAACAAACCUCAACCAAAACGCCA